UAUUCAUUUCAGGAAAUAACUUGUACAAAGGACUACUUAAUCAUUGGAUGAAGUUCACUUUUAAUCCGAGUGGAGGACUAAGACUGAAGCGUGACAUAACAGAGUAUGGAGAAUUUGUGCGCAGUUUUAAUGCCCCUUCUGUGGAUGAGAAAUUUGAACUCCUUGGCAUCUUGGCCAAUGUGUUUAUUGUUGCUCCUGAAAGUCUCCUCUUUUUUUGAGGUACCCCGAGUAUCCGGAAAGACGCUCAA